UACGACGGGGGCGAGCGUUGUUCGGAGUUACUGGGCGUAAAGGGCGCGCAGGCGGUUUUCCAAGUCCGGUGUGAAAGCCCCGGGCUCAACCCGGGAAAUGCAUUUGGGACUGGAUGACUUGAGUACGGGAGAGGAUGAUGGAAUUCCCAGUGUAGAGGUGAAAUUCGCAGAGAUUGGGAAGAACACCCGUGGCGAAGGCGGCUCUCUGGGCCGGCCCUGACGCUGAGGCGCGAAAGCGUGGGGAGCGAACGGG
rnacentral:rRNA from 1 species